ensembl:ncRNA F55A12.14 ncRNA
ACGACGGGCGGUUGAGGUGAUGAGAAAACGGGGCAGAUGUUGAUGAUGUCUUUUCGCACCGUCUGCGUUACUCAAUUUCCUGUUAUCUAUCGUUUGUGGAACGACGAGAUACUUAAAAUAACGAGGAACCGCAGACACAAAGAGAAAU